CUCCAGGGUCGUGCCAUCGCUGAGCGCUUCGUGGCGUGGUGCUUUUUUUUGGUUUUUUUCCUCUUCAAAAUAAGCCUGGUUUUCAUUUUUGCACGGCAGGAAUUUCCACCCGCCUUGGCUACACAUGUGACUUUUGGCUGGCGGAAGAUGAGUCAGAUCAGUGGAAUUGCUUUCCAAACGAAGAAAACUUGUUGAAGUGAAACGAGGACAGCGAGGACAGCGUGAUUUACAUGAAUGACAGAAAGCUUAAUUAAGCAAGUUCAUCAGCAGAGGGCAGCAAGCAUUUGAUCUCAAACCGGCUGAGUCAGAAUGGAUUAAGCAGUUGGUGGAAAAUCAAAAUCUGCCGGGUGUCAUUGUAAAUCUAGCGUUUCUGAGACUGGCUGCUGACCCUGGUUCUUCAGGAGAAGACUUGGGAGGGUUUAAUCCAUCAACUCCAGCAAAGGCUGAAUUUUGCUUUUGAUUUUUUGAUCAGCGAACAUGGAGGGAGACAGCAAAAUAUUUUGGGGUGCUGAAAAUUCUUUCUAAAUCGACUCGCAGCAUUCGACCUGUUGUGUGGUGGUAGGCUUGGAAAUGGCUAUUCUAGAGCAGGGGUCCUCAA